rnacentral:lncRNA from 1 species
CCCCCAAACGCCGUACAAUCGCUAUGGGCUGCUGUCCUGACAAGGACAUGCGGCAUGGCCGCCCUGGGGAUAUCGUCCUGCCAAGGACGUAGGUCAACCCUAGUGAUUUGACAGCCCACGGUGACUUGUCAGUCCACGGUGACUCUGACAGCCUCCGACGAUUUGACAACUCUCCGAUUGUCGCGUCAUUAAUGGCAGGACCACGCCGCGCCCU